UGGCGAACGGGUGAGUAACGCGUGAGGAACCUGCCUCAAAGAGGGGGACAACAGUUGGAAACGACUGCUAAUACCGCAUAAGCCCACGGGUCGGCAUCGACCAGAGGGAAAAGGAGCAAUCCGCUUUGAGAUGGCCUCGCGUCCGAUUAGCCAGUUGGUGAGGUAAUGGCCCACCAAGGCAACGAUCGGUAGCCGGACUGAGAGGUUGAACGGCCACAUUGGGACUGAGACACGGCCCAGACUCCUACGGGAGGCAGCAUG
rnacentral:rRNA from 1 species